UUCACUUACUCUCUCUUUCUUUCUCUCCCACCGAGAAUGGGAAAAGCUCUGUAUCAAAGCAACAAAUUAAUGUGAAAAAAUCCAAUGAAAUUCAUGUAAAGACUGAUGACAAAGAUGAGUUAGUGAAUCACAUUGGCCUCUCACAUCCUAAACUUUUUCCGAUUUGUUCCCUCUAUAAACCUUUUGAGAUCCAUAGCAAAGUGCAUAAACUCAUGUCAAGAUCGAAGACAAAGGUACGAAGAAAACGGCAGAAACCCAUAACCACACUAAUCUUCGUCUCCGAUUCUAUGAGUACAAUUCUUUUCAGCAUUUAGAUGGCUCAAUUUUCUCAUGUCUCAAACUAUGUUAGCAAGGCAUAACUGGGAACAAAUGCAAUUUAGGAAAUGAAAGAAUCAAGAAUAUUGAAGAUACUUUGGGUGCUGCCAGACUAAACUAUCAUAUCAAAAUAGAUUUUGUGGUGGAACUAAAAUUGAUAUAUUGGGCAAAAAUGUUGUUGAGAAGUAUAGUAAGGACAAAGGUCGUAGAAGGUUGACAUUGCCUCAUGUUUUCCCUCAGUUCAUCUAAGGAAACAAGUAAACCAAACCAAAACAAGGGUAUACACAUGCUGUGUGUUCCAUCGUUACAUGGGUGAUCCUGAAUUUAGUUUCUUUGUAAUUAACUUUUCCUUGCUUUGAAGCUGUUUGAUUUUUUUGUCUAUUAGAGGUUAAACUCAUUUUGGGUUCAAUUCUGUUGAAAGUUUGUCAUGAAACAAUAAAAACUAUGUUCUGAGUUUUAAUAGAAUUGUUUGAUGAUUCUUCUUAAAAAAUGAUAUCUGCUAUAAUUGUUUACCUUUUUAUAGCAGUUGAUUGGUGGACAUUUGAAAUAUUCUUUCAUGAAUUAUUAUUUGGCAAACCCCAUUUCAGAGGGUCAGGAUACUGUGAUACGCUUUUCAAUCUGCCCAACUACAGGAUAUCUCUUUUACAGGCAAAAUGUUAGAUUUCUUUUGUGUGGAAAUUGAAUUCUAUUGUGGAGACAACUCUUAGGUGAUUACUUUAAAGGUUAUUGUUGUCUUAUUAUUGAUUGAUGUUUUCAUCUGUAAUUUGUUGCGUAUCUGCUCGAUGUUUAUGGACUUCUGUUUAUCCUUUAUCCUUUGAGUAUUAUACUUUUAAUAUGUAUUUCCCUCUAUGAAAUCCAAGGUUUUAAAUAACUGUUAGGGUUAUAGUUUUGUCACGAUCUUUGAUGUUGCAGAAACUCACUCCAAAUGCUUUUUCUUGGUUGUGAAGAAGACCUUGGUUUAGAUUGCAGCCGGCAACCUAUUUUUCAAAGUUUGAAAUCAACUUAACUUAUAUUCCAUGAUUUUUUUACACAGUUUCGCUUGGUUUCUCCUUCUCUUUCCAAAUUCGAGGUUGGUUUUUCAAAAGGUUAUUCAACAUUACUAGAUCUACAUUCAAAGUCUUAAAAGAAAAAGUUCUAAACAAUAUCAAAAUGGUUUGAAAAUGGAAAAGCAAAGGGAAGCAAUGGUUUCUUUGGAUGUUUAACAACCUUCUAUGAAGAAAACAUGAAGAAACAGUUGCAGUUUUGGUGAUUCCGGUGCGGUGGUUGAAUUUUUGCGGCGGUGACAGAUGAAGUCUAGCGAGGUUUCAGACGCAGUUCCGACGAAUCUCAUGUGAAGUAUUUGAUAUUUCUGUUUUGCUGAAUAUUUCAGUGCGGGGUCUUUAAGCAAAACAGAAAUAUUUCAUGGUAUAAAAUAUUCAUUGAUAUAGGUUGUUAAAAAUAAUUAAAAACCAAAAUAUCAAAAACCUAUUUCUGUUUUGCUGAAUAUUUCAUGGAAUGCAGCGGGUAAUGUAGCAUUUGGAAGUUUAAAAUAGGUUUUGGGAAUUCAGAAAUUCAAUUGAAUCUUUUAUAUUAGCAUUUCAUUCUUUUUCUUUCAUUUCCUCAAGAACCUAUUAGAUACUGUGCACAUAUUACCAUAGAAAGGAAC